rnacentral:rRNA from 1 species
UACCAGCACCCCGAGUGGUCGGGACGAUUAUUGGGCCUAAAGCAUCCGUAGCCGGUUCUACAAGUCUUCCGUUAAAUCCACCUGCUUAACAGAUGGGCCGCGGAGGAUACUACAGAGCUAGGAGGCAGGAGAGGCAAGCGGUACUCAGUGGGUAGGGGUAAAAUCCGUUGAUCCAUUGAAGACCACCAGUGGCGAAGGCGGCUUGCCAGAACGCACUCGACGGUGAGGGAUGAAAGCUGGGGGAGCAAACCGG